rnacentral:rRNA from 1 species
AAAUGAAUUGACGGGGACCCGCACAAGCGGUGGAUUAUGUGGAUUAAUUCGAUGCAACGCGAAAAACCUUACCUACCCUUGACAUGCUUGGAAUCUAAUGGAGACAUAAGAGUGCCCGAAAGGGAGCCAAGACACAGGUGCUGCAUGGCUGUCGUCAGCUCGUGUCGUGAGAUGUUGGGUUAAGUCCCGCAACGAGCGCAACCCUUGUCGUUAAUUGCUAUCAUUUUUAAUGAGCACUUUAACGAGACUGCCGGUGACAAACCGGAGGAAGGUGGGGAUGACGUCAAGUCCUCAUGGCCCUUAUGGGUAGGGCUUCACACGUAAUACAAUGGCGUGUACAGAGGGUUGCCAAUCCGUGAGGAGGAGCUAAUCUCAGAAAGCACGUCGUAGUCCGGAUCGGAGUCUGCAAUUCGACUCCGUGAAGUCGGAAUCGCUAGUAAUCGCGGAUCAGAAUGUCGCGGUGAAUACGUUCCCGGGUCUUGUACACACCGCCCGU